CCUACGGGAGGCAGCAGUAGGGAAUCUUCCACAAUGGGCGAAAGCCUGAUGGAGCAACGCCGCGUGAGUGAUGAAGGCCUUCGGGUUGUAAAACUCUGUCAUUCGGGACGAACCGGAGUCUGAGGAAAUGCAGACUCUCUGACGGUACCGGAGGAGGAAGCCCCGGCUAACUACGUGCCAGCAGCCGCGGUAAUACGUAGGGGGCAAGCGUUGUCCGGAUUCACUGGGCGUAAAGCGCGCGCAGGCGGUGAUGUAAGUCUGAGGUGAAAACCCGAAGCUCAACUUCGGGACUGCCUUGGAUACUGCGUCACUUGAGGAUAGGAGAGGCAAGGGGAAUUCCACGUGUAGCGGUGAAAUGCGUAGAGAUGUGGAGGAACACCUGUGGCGAAGGCGCCUUGCUGGCCUAUUCUGACGCUGAGGCGCGAAAGCGUGGGGAGCAAACAGGAUUAGAUACCCUGGUAGUCCACGCUGUAAACGAUGAGUGCUAGGUGUAGGUGGGCUCAUACCCAUCCUGUGCCGAAGCUAACGCAUUAAGCACUCCGCCCUGGGGGAGGUACGGUCGCGACGACGUACGAACGUACGAAGAAGUAGACGGCGNGAGACGNGCGACGGACGACGACGAGGGAGGUUAGG
rnacentral:rRNA from 1 species